rnacentral:rRNA from 1 species
AUACGAAGGGGGCUAGCGUUGUUCGGAAUCACUGGGCGUAAAGCGCACGUAGGUGGACUAAUUAGUUGAGGGUGAAAUCCCGGGGCUCAACCUCGGAACUGCCUUCAAUACUGUUAGUCUUGAGUCCGAGAGAGGUGAGUGGAAUUCCUAGUGUAGAGGUGAAAUUCGUAGAUAUUAGGAAGAACACCAGUGGCGAAGGCGGCUCACUGGCUCGGUACUGACGCUGAGGUGCGAAAGCGUGGGGAGCAAACAGGAUUAGAUACCCUAGUAGUCC